GAUGAACGCUGGCGGCGUGCCUAAUACAUGCAAGUCGAGCGAACAGACGAGGAGCUUGCUCCUCUGACGUUAGCGGCGGACGGGUGAGUAACACGUGGAUAACCUACCUAUAAGACUGGGAUACCUUCGGGAAACCGGAGCUAAUACCGGAUAAUAUAUUGAACCGCAUGGUUCAAUAGUGAAAGACGGCUUUGCUGUCACUUAUAGAUGGAUCCGCGCCGCAUUAGCUAGUUGGUAAGGUAACGGCUUACCAAGGCGACGAUGCGUAGCCGACCUGAGAGGGUGAUCGGCCACACUGGAACUGAGACACGGUCCAGACUCCUACGGGAGGCAGCAGUAGGGAAUCUUCCGCAAUGGGCGAAAGCCUGACGGAGCAACGCCGCGUGAGUGAUGAAGGUCUUCGGAUCGUAAAACUCUGUUAUUAGGGAAGAACAAAUGUGUAAGUAACUAUGCACGUCUUGACGGUACCUAAUCAGAAAGCCACGGCUAACUACGUG
rnacentral:rRNA from 1 species